CACGUAGGCGGAUUGUUAAGUCGGGGGUGAAAUCCUGGAGCUCAACUCCAGAACUGCCUUCGAUACUGGCGAUCUCGAGUUCGGGAGAGGUGAGUGGAACUGCGAGUGUAGAGGUGAAAUUCGUAGAUAUUCGCAAGAACACCAGUGGCGAAGGCGGCUCACUGGCCCGAUACUGACGCUGAGGUGCGAAAGCGUGGGGAGCAACA
rnacentral:rRNA from 1 species